GUGGAUUAGAUACCCUGGUAGUCCACGCCGUAAACGAUGGAUACUAGCUGUUGGGGGCAACUUCAGUGGCUAAGCGAAAGUGAUAAGUAUCCCACCUGGGGAGUACGGGCGCAAGCCUGAAACUCAAAGGAAUUGACGGGGGCCCGCACAAGCGGUGGAGCAUGUGGUUUAAUUCGAUGAUACGCGAGGAACCUUACCAAGGCUUAAAUGUAGAUUGACCGAUUUGGAAACAGAUCUUUCGCAAGACAAUUUACAAGGUGCUGCACGGCCGUCGUCAGCU
rnacentral:rRNA from 1 species